CCGAGUUUACAACUCCCAAACCCCUGUGAACAUACCUAUACGUUGCCUCGGCGAUCAGCCCGCGCCCCGUAAAAAGGGACGGCCCGCCCGAGGACCCUAAACUCUGCUUUUAGUGGAACUUCUGAGUAAAACAAACAAAUAAAUCA
rnacentral:misc_RNA from 1 species